rnacentral:rRNA from 1 species
AAUCAACGCUGGCGGCGUGCCUCAGACAUGCAAGUCGAACGAUUAAAGCUCUCUUCGGAGAGUGCAUAGAGUGGCGCACGGGUGAGUAACACGUAAGUAAUCUACCUUCGAGUGGGGAAUAACGUCCGGAAACGGACGCUAAUACCGCAUAAUGCAGCGGCAUCGUAAGAUGACAGUUGUUAAAGAUUUAUCGCUUGAAGAGGAGCUUGCGGCAGAUUAGCUAGUUGGUAAGGUAAUGGCUUACCAAGGCUACGAUCUGUAACCGGUCUUAGAGGACGGUCGGUCACACUGACACUGAAUAACGGGUCAGACUCCUACGGAGGCAGCAGUCGGGAAUUUUGGGCAAUGGGCGAAAGCCUGACCCAGCAACGCCGCGUGAAGGAUGAAGUAUUUCGGUAUGUAAACUUCGAAAGAAUAGGAAGAAUAAAUGACGGUACUAUUUAUAAGGUCCGGCUAACUACGUGCCAGC